UGUGACACUUAAGCAGUCUGGGUGGUUGUC
rnacentral:piRNA from 2 species